AGCAUUAAGUAGCAAAGUUAAUAAGUCGGUAUUACCGACCGUCCCUAGAGCAAAUGGCAAAGAAUUUGCUAGUUGGUACCCGAGACCUAAGUUCGAAUCCUAAUUGAUUCACAUUUCUAGCUAAGUUUAUUUCUAAAUGAAAUAAACGAAGCGGAUAGCGUGUUACCUAUCUCUCAAAAUAGAAAAAAAGUCGGUAUCUGGUAGUUGAUCUAAUAAGUCUGAGAUUCGAGCAUUCAUUUGUGUGUAUUUGUGUGUUACCUAUCUCUCAAAAAAAAAAAAAAAAGUCAGUAUCUGAUAGUUGAUCUAAUAAGUCUGAGAUUCGAGCAUUCAUAUGUGCGUUUAUUAGUGAAGCGUUUUGAGUUUUCGGCUUUUUGAAUAAAAAAAUAUCUAUAUUUGGGAAAGAUUGUUUGA
rnacentral:lncRNA from 1 species